GAUGGGACGCCCACCUCGGGGCUGGAGCGGGCGCGGCUCUCUGGGCUCCGCAGGUCCGCGCGCGAGCUGAGCUGCCUGGAGCCGGCGGCCUCCACCGCUUUCCGCGCGCCGCUCCCGGCGGAGACGAAUCCCUCUUCGUUCGUUCCCUUUCUUUCUUUUCUUUCUUUCAUUAAGCUUCUCGGUGCUCUUUAGGUGUGCAGUGCCGUUACAUCGCCGCUGGGAUCCUGCACCUUUGCUUACAAAUUGCCGGUGAGGAAGUUUAAAGCUCCAUCGUCACUCCUAAGUGCUUCGGCAGGUGCUCUGUGAGGACACCAUCCACUUCCACAACUGCCAGCCUGGGAAAGAACCGAUCCGCUAUCACCCAGUCUGCCUCUCCCUCCUUGGAGUGAGACUUUUCUCCAACCAACCUUGGCUCCUUCUGUGGAAAAUUCUACUUAGAAAGGAAGAUCUGGGUGCUGGGUGUAGACUUUGCUACUGGAGUCUAAUCCCCAGAAAAAGAGUUAAAACCUGCUGAGGGUUGAACUGCUUUUGCAUGCAACCCCCUCUCAAGUCUAUGCUCAACUUAUUUUAGCCUUUGCCUUUCCACGCGAGUGGCACCCUGCACAGCAGCGAUGCACACCACUGAAAGGACAGCGAAGAACAACUGGUUGCUGUCACGGUGGAAGUACCAAGGAAAGCUUCCCACGGGGAGAAGAGAGCUCAGUCUUAAAGAUGAGUAGAAUCUCACCAGAGGAUUAGAAAUUUAAGUUGUAAGUGAUGAGAAGGAGGCAGACAAGGGACAUAAAGUCAGGUAGCUGUUUAAUAAUCCAGGGCACAGGCAGGAUGGAGUGUGGGCUAAAAGAAGGCAAAGGUCUGGAUUGGACAGUGGGUCACAGUCAGAUGGUAAGAAACAGAGUGGACUUUACUUCAGUGAACUGAAGUUUUUCUGUUUUAAGUAUAAAGUGUAAAAUAUUUG
ensembl:lncRNA